rnacentral:sRNA from 1 species
AGCCUGAUCACCACGAUUAUUAUUACCAUCACCGAUACGAUGUAUUGCGGUGCGGGCUGACGCGUAAAGAAGAAUCCAAAAAGGCCCGCACUUCACAGUGCGGGUUUUUUUUU